rnacentral:rRNA from 1 species
GGAUUAGUGGCGAACGGGUGAGUAACACGUGGGUGAUCUGCCCUGCACUCUGGGAUAAGCCUGGGAAACUGGGUCUAAUACCGGAUAUGACCUCGGGAUGCAUGUUCUGGGGUGGAAAGUUUUUCGGUGCAGGAUGAGCCCGCGGCCUAUCAGCUUGUUGGUGGGGUAAUGGCCUACCAAGGCGACGACGGGUAGCCGGCCUGAGAGGGCGACCGGCCACACUGGGACUGAGACACGGCCCAGACUCCUACGGGAGGCAGCAGUGGGGAAUAUUGCACAAUGGGCGCAAGCCUGAUGCAGCGACGCCGCGUGAGGGAUGACGGCCUUCGGGUUGUAAACCUCUUUCACCCAUGACGAAGCGCAAGUGACGGUAGUGGGAGAAGAAGCACCGGCCAACUACGUGCCAGCAGCCGCGGUAAUACGUAGGGUGCGAGCGUUGUCCGGAAUUACUGGGCGUAAAGAGCUCGUAGGCGGUUUGUCGCGUCGUCUGUGAAAUCCCGCAGCUCAACUGCGGGCUUGCAGGCGAUACGGGCAGACUCGAGUACUGCAGGGGAGACUGGAAUUCCUGGUGUAGCGGUGAAAUGCGCAGAU